rnacentral:rRNA from 1 species
GACGAACGCUGGCGGCGUGCUUAACACAUGCAAGUCGAACGGAAAGGCCCUGCUUGCCGGGUGCUCGAGUGGCGAACGGGUGAGUAACACGUGGGUGAUCUGCCCCUUACUUUGGGAUAAGCCUGGGAAACUGGGUCUAAUACUGGAUAGGACCAUGCUGUAGGUGGUGUGGUGGAAAGAUUAGUUUCGGUAAGGGAUGAGCUCGCGGCCUAUCAGCUUGUUGGUGGGGUAAUGGCCUACCAAGGCGUCGCCGGGUAGCCGGCCUGAGGGGGUGGACGGCCACCUUGGGACUGAGAUACGGCCCAGACGCCUACGGGAGGCAGCAGUGGGGAAUAUUGCACAAUGGGCGCAAGCCUGAUGCAGCGACGCCGCGGGGGGGAUGACGGCCUUCGGGUUGUAAACUCCUUGCAGCCAUGACGAAGCCCUUGUGGUGACGGUAGUGGUAGAAGAAGCACCGGCUAACUACGUG